ACACUCCUGCGGGAGGCAGCAGUGGGGAAUUUUGGACAAUGGGCGAAAGCCUGAUCCAGCAAUGCCGCGUGAGUGAAGAAGGCCUUCGGGUUGUAAAGCUCUUUUGUCAGGGAAGAAACGGUGAAAGCUAAUAUCUUUUGCUAAUGACGGUACCUGAAGAAUAAGCACCGGCUAACUACGUGCCAGCAGCCGCGGUAAUACGUAGGGUGCAAGCGUUAAUCGGAAUUACUGGGCGUAAAGCGUGCGCAGGCGGUUUUGUAAGUCUGAUGUGAAAUCCCCGGGCUCAACCUGGGAAUUGCAUUGGGGACUGCAAGGCUAGAAUCUGGCAGAGGGGGGUAGAAUUCCACGUGUAGCAGUGAAAUGCGUAGAUAUGUGGAGGAACACCGAUGGCGAAGGCAGCCCCCUGGGUCAAGAUUGACGCUCAUGCACGAAAGCGUGGGGAGCAAACAGGAUUAGAUACCCGAGUAGUCC
rnacentral:rRNA from 1 species